CAGGGUCGGGGGCGACGCGAGGUGGGGAAGGUGCAGGUCAGCAGAUGACGUCAUGUUAGGAGGGAGAGAGAGAGCCGCCGCAGGUCCGGCUGGGCUCGAGGAUGGGGAAGAAGAGGCCGUCGCCAUAGGACCAGCUGAGUGGAACUCUGAGGCCGAGUAGAUCUCGAGCAAGAAGUUGUCCUUGUUGUCGGAGGGGACAAACUUCGCCCAGCGCAACGCCUUGGACCGGCCUGGCGACGGGAAGAAAAGGGGGGUUGUACAACUGAAAACUAAUGGGCAAAAUAUACCCCUUCCGUCCUAAAAUAUAAAGGAUUUCAGUCUGUUCC
rnacentral:lncRNA from 1 species